CGCCGACGCAACACUUUGUAGUUCUGUGUUAUACUGCUUUAUAAACUAAGUUUAAUUGCCUCCAAAAAAGCUCCCGUCCAAUUGCAUAUAUUGAAUGUAUAUCAUUAGAGAAUAAAUUUUUGACAUUCACUGAAAACACUUCACUGAUCCAUAGUCAGUCAACAAAAUCCAACCAUCAUGCAAAUGGGAAAAGUUUUUGCUAUCAACCUUCUAGUGCUUGUUCAACAAUCUAUGACUAAUCAUUGUAGUACUAUGACUGAAAUGAGAACAACCCACUUUACCUGAUGUUUUAAUGCGGGCUGCUAUUAUCAUUAGCUUUGUCAUAACUCAUAAGUAUUGUUAAUUCAUGAUGACAGAUGAUAAUCACCUAUGGAAAAGAAAGACUGGCAGAAAACCAAGAUCUUUUAUGGGCACUAGCGAAAAAGUUAUUUUCCGAAGUUUCAGCUUGUAAAUCAUUAUCCUUGAAAAUAUAGUAUCAAAGAAAUUAUAUCAUUUCCGUCAGAUUUCUAAGUUCUCGAAAACAUAAUAGCUAAUACUGGCAUCUUUAUGUAAGAAUCUUCAAACAGCUAUGACUCAUCUGCUGAUGAUUCCGAUUCACCUCCUGCUUCUGAAACUGAAGAAGGUACCGCAGAAGAAACUAAGUCACAAGAAGCCCCACUGGCACAAAUUGAUCAAGCAUGCAUGAUCACCGGAUGAGGACUGGCCAAGAUUCUCAAGAAGUAUGACAAGAGAAGUGGGACCUUUAUCAGUCUCCCUUUCAUUCAAAAUGUGUUGCUUUAGCAUUUCUUCAUCAUUGACCGCCUGUACCAGCUUGUGAAGGAGUGCGAGGCCAUGCUGGACCAGAUCAUAACAUUGAACAAACCAUCUGUAUCAAAUGAAGAUGGAAAAGAAGAUAUCAACAUUGAGACAAGCCUCUGAACCUUCAGUUCUACCUUGGAUAGCAGCGGAUGCAUUCCAGAGCAUGUACAUGAUUGCAACUUUUGUGCAAAUGUUGUCAUAUUGGGUGAUGUGGACGUAUCAUUGGUACAAUAUUUUAUUGUGCAAUCUGAGAUAUUCAUGGAAAAUGUAUAACAUCUUAUUGUGCUAUAUAGAAUAUUCGUGGAAAAGGCAUUUAUUUUUUAUUAUCCAAAUUCAAACCACUGACAGGCAGGAUAACGAGCAUGUCACUACAA